AUUCCCCCCCAGCCUCACACCUCCACAGAGAUCCCCACCCAACACCAGUCCAGGUGACAUAAAAAGACACUCCCCAUUACCCAACAAUCUACAACUCACUCUCAGCACCCCUCCCCACGCCUUACUAAGUAAAAUAAUUGCCCUUGUUGCAAGGAUUUUUAAGGUACCAGUGACCCACUCAAAUUGUGUCCCAGAAUUGACAGACGCAGCAGUGGAGAAAAAGAAAGUGAUAUUUAUUGCUGAGCAAUAAGUGACCCAGUGGAAUCCUUUCCCAAAGACUGGGCCCCGGGCUCCAGCGCCCUGAGGCUUUAUACCUGAGAAGAAAAAGGAACUUCGGCCCUUACGCUCCUACGCGGCCAUCUGCUAUACCGGGACAUUCUGCGGUUAGCAUCUUCCUGUUUGAGCUACUCGGGACCCUGUCUGGACAGGGGGGAAAGUGCCAUCACAGCAGAUUUAUUGCUUCCCCCUUAUGUUAGCGAGACAUUGAGAAGAACAAGGAAGGGAACUGGGGCAGAGUUCAUUUCGGAUUCUUCCAAUCUAAGCAAUUUGCUAUAAGCUUUUGCAGAAGCCGUCAUGAGUCAAACAUGGAUUAUAUAAAAAUCAUUAUAAGGAUAUAUGGUUAUAUGGCUAACUGAUUAUAUGAAAAGCAUAAGGGUGAAAUUCCUCCAGGUGGUCCUGCUUCACCCUAACCUCAAUAAAACAAUCCACAAACAGGCUGAAAUCUGACAAACAAGCAGCACAUUGGGACUACCAGAGCAUAUCAACACCCUCAUCUCUACCCCAACAUACCAGUGAUGUUAAUAACAUUAGCAACAUUGCUUAUGGACCCUAUAUCCAAGAUAGGCGUCACAAAGACGGUUGGAGGAUGGAUGGCGGCCAACAGAUUGAGGUUGAAUCCUGACAAGACAGAAGUACUGUUUUGGGGGGACAGGAGGCGGGUGGGUGUGGAGGACUCCCUGGUCCUGAAUGGGGUAACUGCCCCUGAAGGACCAGGUGCGCAGCCUGGAAGUCAUUUUGGACUCUCAGCUGUCCAUGGAGGCACAGGUCAAUUCUGUGUCCAGGGCAGCUGUUUAUCAGCUCCCUCUGGUACGCAGGCUGAGACCCUCCCUGCCUGCAGACUGUCUCGCCAGAGUGGUGCAUGCUCUGGCUAUCUCCUGCUUGGACUACUGCAAUAUGCUCUACAUGGGGCUAUCUUUGAAGCUGAUCCGGAAACUACAACUAAUCCAGAAUGCGGCAGCUAGACUGGUGAAUGGGAGCAGCUGCCGAGACCAUGUAACACCGGUCUUGAAAGACCUACAUUGGCUCCCAGUGCGUUUCCGAGCACAAUUCAAAGUGUUGGUGCUGACCCUUAAAGCUCUAAACUGCCUCGGUCUAAUAUAUCUGAAGGAACGUCUCCACCCCCGUUGUUCUGCCUGGACAAUGAGGUCCAGCACCGAGGGCCUUCUGGCGGUUCCCUCACUGCGAGAAGCCCAGUUACAGGGAACCAGGCAGAGGGCCUUCUCGGUAGUGACGCCCGCCCUGUGGAACGCCCUCCCACCAAAUGUCAAAGAGAAGAACAACUACCAGACUUUUAGAAGACAUCUGAAGACAGCCCUGUUUAGGGAAGCUUUUAAUGUUUGAUGCAUUAUGAUACUUUAAUAUUUUGUUGGAAGCCGCCCAAAGUGGCUGGGGAAGCCCAGCCAGAUGGGCGGGGUAUAAAUAAUAAAUUAUUAUUAUUAUUAAGACACUUAA